rnacentral:rRNA from 1 species
UACGUAGGGGGCGAGCGUUAUCCGGAUUCACUGGGUGUAAAGGGAGCGUAGACGGCCAAGCAAGCCAGGGGUGAAAGCCCGGGGCCCAACCCCGGGACUGCCCUUGGAACUGCAUGGCUGGAGUGCGGGAGGGGCAGGCGGAAUUCCUGGUGUAGCGGUGAAAUGCGUAGAUAUUAGGAGGAACACCAGUGGCGAAGGCGGCUUACUGGACGGCAACUGACGCUGAGGCUCGAAAGCGUGGGGAGCAAACAGG